UGUCUUUGGAGUUUGGGAGAAAACAGAAGAAAAGCAGGAGAAAACCCAUGCAGGUCAUGGGGAGAACGUACAAACUCCAUACAGACAGCACCCGUGGUCGAGAUCGAACACGGGACUCUGGCGGUCCAUUCACAGUGACAAGAGCAAU